UACGUAGGUGACAAGCGUUAUCCGGAAUUACUGGGCGUAAAGCGCACGCAGGCGGCUGCGUAAGUCUGACGUGAAAUCUCCCGGCUUAACCGGGAGCGGUCGUUGGAAACUAUGCGGCUUGAGGCGAUGAGAGGGGUGUGGAAUUCCCGGUGUAGUGGUGGAAUGCGUAGAUAUCGGGAGGAACAUCAGUGGUGAAAGCGGCACCCUGGCAUUAGCCUGACGCUCAGGUGCGAAAGCGUGGGGAGCGAACGGG
rnacentral:rRNA from 1 species